GUUUUACAGUUCCCUAGUUCCAGUUUUCCAUUUCUGGCACCUGCUGAAAACUCAUUCCCAGGUCUUCAGUUUGAGAAUAGCUAUACUUGAGGAGCUGUGCUUGAUAAAUAGCAUCUGAAGAGUCUCAUACACAUUUGGAUGAAAUUCUGGACUUUGAACCUGUGCCUGGUGCCGAUAUAGGAUGCUCAGCUACAAUGAAAAAUUCUAGACAAGCCAGCUGAAGAAUGGGAGACCACGUGGAAAAAAGAUGAGCCUUCCCAGCAGACGCCAUCCUGAACAGCUAUCUCCCUGCCUACUCAGAAGCUGACCUCAUACAUUAGUGAGCUCAGCAGUUACCCCAGGAACAACUCACCUGGCUACAGUCUGAAUUGUCAGCCCAACA